GUCCCCGUGGCCGAGCGGUGAGGUGCCUGGACGCAACCCAGGCGAGGCGGGUUCGACUCCUGCCGGGGACUCCA
rnacentral:tRNA from 1 species